AAUUUAGCGAUGAUGAGAAGAGUAGAUUGACUGCGUUUUUUCCAGAGAGCUUCGGCAGCUGAAAAGAAGCAAAAAUGCGCAAUCGAAAAUGGCCUCGGAGCUUCGCGUUGAACCUUCCGUUUGGAACCAGUAGAAUGCGACAAGAGUUGGCACUUGUUAUCAAAGCCACAGUACAGGAGCAGAAGCUUUGUACUGACUGAGGCUGCUGGCGUGAGUUGGCAGCAAAUUAAAGUGGAACCGCGAGUGAACCUCGCCUUUAUU
rnacentral:ncRNA from 1 species